AAAGUACAUAUAGCCAGCCUAGCACGGACCUCAAAGGGGAACCAGAAAAAAGUUAUGGGGUAUUAGCAAUCAGUUCCUUUUGGUGGCACUGGUGCGGUGGACUGAGAGCAUAGGCCUGACUGGUGACUAGGGACCUGAACUCCCUGAUGCUGAAGACCCCAGCAGGACAAAUCCUAACCUACUACAUCCUGCAGACCUUCACCUCCAAGAGCAAGAGGAUGGUCAUCAUCGUCAGGGUGGAUACCACAGGUGACAUCACAUGUUUAUUAAGGGCACUGAUUGUUGCCAUGGCGAGUAUUGUGCAGUACAAUGAGUGGCUGGAGGAGG